AGAUUGAACGCUGGCGGCAUGCCUUACACAUGCAAGUCGAACGGCAGCACGGGAGCAAUCCUGGUGGCGAGUGGCGAACGGGUGAGUAAUAUAUCGGAACGUGCCCAGUCGUGGGGGAUAACGCAGUGAAAGCUGUGCUAAUACCGCAUACGAUCUAUGGAUGGAAACGGCGGGGGACUCGCAAGAGCCUCGCGCGAUUGGAGCGGCGAUAUCAGUAUUAGCUUAGGUUGGGUACGGGUAAAACGCCCAACGAAGGCGACG
rnacentral:rRNA from 1 species